rnacentral:rRNA from 1 species
GACGAACGCUGGCGGCGUGCUUAACACAUGCAAGUCGAACGGAAAGGCCCAGCUUGCUGGGUACUCGAGUGGCGAACGGGUGAGUAACACGUGGGUGAUCUGCCCCAAACUUCGGGAUAAGCCUGGGAAACUGGGUCUAAUACCGGAUAUGACCUGCUCCUGCAUGGGGGUUGGUGGAAAGCUUUUGCGGUUUGGGAUGGGCCCGCGGCCUAUCAGCUUGUUGGUGGGGUAAUGGCCUACCAAGGCGACGACGGGUAGCCGACCUGAGAGGGUGUUCGGCCACACUGGGACUGAGACACGGCCCAGACUCCUACGGGAGGCAGCAGUGGGGAAUAUUGCACAAUGGGCGCAAGCCUGAUGCAGCGACGCCGCGUGAGGGAGUGACGGCC